rnacentral:ncRNA from 12 species
AGGGAUUGAAGUGGAGAUAGUGCUGCCACGCACCUUAUGGGUCAAAAGAAAUGUAGGAAAGGGCACACCUACCAAUACCU